CACCGCGGUUAUACGAGAGGCUCAAGUUGACAGACUACGGCGUAAAGCGUGGUUAAGGGAUAUAUACAUAACUAAAGCGGAACCUCCUCCUAGCUGUUAUACGCUUCCGAGGAAAUGAACUCCGACUACGAAAGUGGCUUUACCUAACCUGAACCCACGAAAGCUAAGAAA
rnacentral:rRNA from 1 species